AUCACUACGCUAGAUGCAUAUCAAUAAGCGGAGGAAAAGAGGGCUAUUACCUACGCUUAGGAUGUUGACGAGACUGCCGAUCUCAUCUAUACAUGACUCUGCGCAUAUCAAUAAGCGGAGGAAAAGUACUACCUACGCUUAGGAUGUUGACACACGCGCGUGCUCGACUCUAUACAUGACUCUGCGCAUAUCAAUAAGCGGAGGAAAAGAAACUAACAAGGAUUCCCCUAGUAACGGCGAGUGAAGCGGGAAGAGCUCAAAUUUGAAAUCUUAAAGGGUUUCCCUUUACGAAUUGUAGUUUAAAGAAGUGUUUUCUGUUGAGGUUUUGGUAAAAGUUCUUUGGAAUAGGACAUCAUAGAGGGUGAGAAUCCCGUAUUUGACCUUUACUUUCAACUUUGUGAUACACUUUCAAAGAGUCGGAUUGUUUGGGAAUGCAGUCCAAAAUGGGUGGUAAAUUUCAUCUAAAGCUAAAUAUUGGCGAGAGACCGAUAGCGAACAAGUACCGUGAGGGAAAGAUGAAAAGAACUUUGAAAAGAGAGUUAAACAGUACGUGAAAUUGUCAAAAGGGAAGCGUUUGACACCAGUGUUGUUUUCCUGAAAAUCAAUUAAAGAACUGUUUAUGCUAAGCUGUUUAGACUUUAUCAGCUAUCUGUUUAGUUUUGAGCUUUUCUUUAAUGCACUUUUCAGUUAACAAGUCAACAUCAAUUUCUUUUGCUGUAAAAAAGCUUGAGGAAGGUGGCUUGAGAUUCGUCUUAAGUGUUUAUAGCCUCUUGCCUAUGCAGUCGGAGAGAUUGAGGUCUGCAGCGUAGAUCCUUCGGGGCUAAAUGCAUUUGUGCUAAGUUAUAGCAUUUUAUAGACAACUUGUUGACUAUGAUUUGUCUUGUAGCUUACUCGCUUAUGUUAUUUUACCUACGCUUAGGAUGUUAAUCUACAGAGCGAGAGU
rnacentral:rRNA from 1 species